UCUCCCACCAAUACCAAAAUUCUCUCCAUUACUGUCUUAUUUUUUUUACAAAAUGUCCAGAAAUGACACCAGUUGUUACCAUCUCUUGCUUCUCACAUUACUCCAUAUAUUGAUGUAGGACCCAAUAUUGAAGGUGCCACCAUGUGACUUGCUUUGGACAACGAAACGUGGGUGGAAGGGACACAUGUCAUCUCUGGAAAGCAGCUUGAACAGCCAGCUUGUGGUUUUGCCAUCUGUCAUUUCCUGCUGUCACGAGACUGCUAAUGUCCCAGAUAGAGGCUGCUCCAUCAACCUGGGUGCUCAAGUAAAGAUGAUGUAGAGGACAGCACAGAUGUUGAAAUGGGCAAGUACUAUAAGUGAGAAAUAAACCUUUGCUAUUA